GAUUGUGAGGCCUCCCAGCCAUGUGAAACUGUGAGUCCAUUGAGCCUCUUUUUCUUUAUAAAUUAACCAGUCUGGGGUAUUUCUUCAUAGCAUAUGAAAAAUAGACUAAUAUAGCGGAAUGGAUGACCUCCUCCAGUACACUAGCACCUGGCAAAACACUGAGGACAGAAGGCCACCGUCUCCCACAGGUGGAAUGUACCAGAGACCCAGCUGUGAGGCAAUUGAUGACCAUCAUAAGUGGUUUAGAAACUCCAGAAGAUGUAUGAAGAAGUUGUCAAAGCCUUUACAGUGAAGAUGUUUCUGACUUCACUCACAGAAGUGCCUGCUGAUUUUAAUUUGCUCCAAGACUCCCAAGAACUCCAGGGCUCCCACUUUCCCCAUUCUGUGGGACUCCUUAGGGCCCAGAAGAGUGUGCUGUGCAAAGUUGGCUUUUAGAAAACUGGCUAGCUAGCUUGCUGGCUCCUCCACUUUCCUCUCCAAAACUUCAGAAUUCACCACUCACUGUCCUACCAGAAAUCCCCUAGAAUUUUAAGGUCAUGCUUACUCACAAAGUCUUGAACCCUUCUAAACACACUUCCCAAGAGACUGACUUAUCUGGAAUCUCAUCUCUAUAGAGAAGCAGCCUCUUCAUCUCCCUUCAACUAUCUUCCCAUACUUCUCUGAACAAUUUUUCUUGUCCUGCCAAUUCAGUGUGAUUGAAAACCUGAAAACCACUUAGCAGAGAAUCUGGGCUUACAUAGUGCUUGCCUGUGCAGUUGGAGACAGAGGAGGGAGAAGGAAGCACCGCAAAUACUGCAUGCUGCAGAUUCAUCUACUCACAGAUUCAGACCUAGGAAAACUGUAGAGAAGACCCUCAACUCAGUGUCCAUUCCAGAGAAGGGGGAAGAUGGAGGAAAAUGUUUCAAGAUGAAAGGGCCCAAUGCAGAGGAUGCCCUGCUUUUGAAAAAGCUACAAGAUGAGGAUCCACAUAUAGCCUGCUGGAAUUCCUUUUAGUCUGUUUCCUGAUACCUGGUACCCAAGUGCAAAUUAUGACGUCCUAGUCUGCUGCAUAAAUGUCUGUACUGAACAUCUUCCUUGUAGGGGAGGAAGGAUCCCUUGGUUCAGUGUACUUUUUCCAUCAUAAUGAGCAUACCAGAGUCAAAAUGGGAGCCCAGUGGCCUUCAUGACCAAAAAGGUCCCUGGGAUUGAGACCACCCUGCCUUCCACCUGAGAAGGAGUUUAGCCCUGUUCACCCUGCUUCUCUGUUCCUCACACUAAUAGACUCCCAAGCAGAAACUGUAUGGUUGUGAGUUAUUGUGAAAACAAAAGUGUGAAUCAUUGUCUUUUAUAGUUGUUGAUUUUGUCCAGUAAACCCGAGGUAAAGAACACUCUGUCUCUGAUGAAUGUGAUCAGAGGAAAAAGAGAAAAGAAAAAACAACAACCAUGAAUAUGCAACCAGAAGAAGACAAACUACAGAAGGGUUUUUCCAAUAUGAAGAACUCUUAUCUCAACCAUCUAUUUCAGGACUUGGAGUUUAAGCAAUAAAAUAAUAUACUAUAAAAAUGUUUACAAAAUAGCAGUACACUCCGUGAAACACAUGAAUAAAACAAAAUGAAAAAUAAGAGACUCUUAAAUUUUUUUCCAUCUUCAACCUUCGCACUCUGAAACAAGAAAUAAUCUGUGUAUAAAAUAAUUCUUCAAAGUAGCCCCAUUCUGAUUUUUCUUUUUUACUUAAAAAGGCAAAUAUUUUAACAAAUGGCUUCAUUACCUGUUCGAUUACAAUUGUGAAAAAAAAAAAAAAAGAGUUGUUGCUCCAACCUCUUUACUAACUGAAUGCCUCUAUCGCAAGGACAAAAAACCAAACACCGCAUGUUCUCUCGCAUAGGUGGGAAUUGAACAAUGAGAACA